rnacentral:rRNA from 1 species
CGGAGGGUGCGAGCGUUGUCCGGAUUUAUUGGGUUUAAAGGGUGCGUAGGCGGCAGAUUAAGUCAGCGGUGAAAUUCCACAGCUCAACUGUGGAACUGCCAUUGAUACUGGUUUGCUUGAGUACAGAUGAGGUAGGCGGAAUUGACAGUGUAGCGGUGAAAUGCUUAGAUAUUGUCAAGAACACCUAUUGCGAAGGCAGCUUACUAAGCUGUAACUGACGCUGAGGCACGAAAGCGUGGGGAUCAAACAGGAUUAGAUACCCUGGUAGUCCACGCUGUAAACGAUGAUUACUCGAUGUGUGCGAUAGACAGUACGCGUCCAAGCGAAAGCGUUAAGUAAUCCACCUGGGGAGUACGCUCGCAAGAGUG